GAUGAACGCUGGCGGCGUGCCUAAUACAUGCAAGUCGAGCGAACGGACGAGAAGCUUGCUUCUCUGAUGUUAGCGGCGGACGGGUAAGUAACACGUGGAUAACCUACCUAUAAGACUGGGAUAACUUCGGGAAACCGGAGCUAAUACCGGAUAAUAUUUUGAACCGCAUGGUUCAAAAGUGAAAGACGGUCUUGCUGUCACUUAUAGAUGGAUCCGCGCUGCAUUAGCUAGUUGGUAAGGUAACGGCUUACCAAGGCAACGAUGCAUAGCCGACCUGAGAGGGUGAUCGGCCACACUGGAACUGAGACACGGUCCAGACUCCUACGGGAGGCAGCAGUAGGGAAUCUUCCGCAAUGGGCGAAAGCCUGACGGAGCAACGCCGCGUGAGUGAUGAAGGUCUUCGGACCGUAAAACUCUGUUAUUAGGGAAGAACAUAUGUGUAAGUAACUGUGCACAUCUUGACGGUACCUAAUCAGAAAGCCACGGCUAACUACGUG
rnacentral:rRNA from 1 species